UUUUCUUGAGAUACAGUUGGCUGAUCUUUGUCAUUUAAAAUGAAGUAUAUAAGGCAUUUACAGCUGCUGUAACUAUUGAUAUAAAGAGGAGGAAAGGCUAACUUAUUCAUCCAAAUGGGAGUGAGUGCGGUUUGUAUUUUCCUGGACUUUGCUGUGUAUGUGUCCAUGCAAAACACAAAGAUGGUAACGGAAAACUGGACUCCCCAACUGAGAGCUCUCAAUGCUAAAGAAGGUAAAAAAAGACACUGCAUACCCAUGGCACGUCUCCCUGGAAAGUCAACUCUGCUCAAAGAAGGAAGUAUGCAGAAGUUGAGGAGGCACCCUUUCAGUGUUUGUUCAGGGAAAGAAGAGUGAAGCUUGGGACUCCACAUGAUGCCCGUGUUUGUGAAUGUUUAUUGAGUGUCAGAAGGAAGAGCCACAUAUUAGGUGCUUGGAAACACCACUAUCGUCAUUAUCAUCACCACCACUGUCACCGUCUCCGACACCAUCAUCACCAUCAUCGUAGUUACCACCACAACCACCGCCGCUGUCGUCAUCAUCAUCGUCAUCAUCAUCAUUAUCAUCAUCGUUUGGUGGCACUCAGGGCUGCAUUCGUGUGAGGCAGAUGCUCUACCACUAAGCUACAUCCCUAGUCCAGGAAUAAAAUGUUAAAAAGUUUAUCACAGCUUUUGACUGAAUUACCACAAGUAGGUGCGGCUUAAGGUGUGUACA